CCUACGGGUGGCAGCAGUAGGGAAUUUUCGUCAAUGGGCGCAAGCCUGAACGAGCGAUGCCGCGUGAGUGAAGAAGGCCUUCGGGUCGUAAAGCUCUGUUGCGGGGGAAAAAAGGCAGCAUCCGGAAAUGGGUGCUGACUGAUGGUGCCCCGCCAGAAAGUCACGGCUAACUACGUGCCAGCAGCCGCGGUAAUACGUAGGUGGCGAGCGUUAUCCGGAAUGAUUGGGCGGAAAGGGUGCGCAGGCGGUCCUGCAAGUCUGGAGUGAAACGCAUGAGCUCAACUCAUGCAUGGCUUUGGAAACUGGAGGACUGGAGAGCAGGAGAGGGCGGUGGAACUCCAUGUGUAGCGGUAAAAUGCAUAGAUAUCACGCAGAACCCCGAUUGCGAAGGCAGCAUACCGGUGCACAACUGACGCUCAGGCACGAAAGCGUGGGUAUCGAACAGGAUUAGAUACCCCAGUAGUC
rnacentral:rRNA from 1 species